rnacentral:rRNA from 1 species
UACGUAGGGUGCGAGCGUUGUCCGGAAUUACUGGGCGUAAAGAGCUCGUAGGUGGUUUGUCGCGUUGUUCGUGAAAACUCACAGCUCAACUGUGGGCGUGCGGGCGAUACGGGCAGACUGGAGUACUGCAGGGGAGACUGGAAUUCCUGGUGUAGCGGUGGAAUGCGGCAGAUAUCAGGAGGAACACCGGUGGCGAAGGCGGGUCUCUGG